GAUCUUUUCCUUUGUGCUGGCUUUGACCGUAUGUAAUUUUGGGACUUUAAAAUGGUUCGCAAGGGCCGGUCCCAAAAACAAUAUAUCAUCCUUAUGAAAUUUUUUCUGAACAAUUAAACAAAUGAUUUUAAUAAUCUGUUUAAAACAACUUUCAACAACGGAUCUCUUGGUUCUCGCAUCGAUGAAGAACGCAGCGAAAUGCGAUACGUAAUGUGAAUUGCAGAAUUCAGUGAAUCAUCGAAUCUUUGAACGCACAUUGCACUCCUUGGUAUUCCGAGGAGUAUGCCUGUUUCAGUAUCAUGAGCACUCUCACACCUAACCUUUGGGUUUAUGGCGUGGAAUUGGAAUGCGCCGACUGUCAUGGUUGGCCCUUCUAAAAUGUAGUUCUUGGCUGUCACCUAAUACAGCAGUUUGGCCUAAUAGUUUUGGCAUUCAUUGUCAAAUCUUUGGCUAACAUUUGCUCCAGGAGUCAGUCUUGAUAAUACAGAAAACUCAUUCAAAUUUUGAUCUGAAAUCAGGUAGGGCUACCCGCUGAACUUAAGCAUAUCAAUAAGCGGAGGAAAAGAAACUAACAAGGAUUCC
rnacentral:rRNA from 2 species